rnacentral:rRNA from 1 species
GAGCGGAGGUAUACGCUGGAUUGGUCUUCGGACCAAGCCUUGUAUACUUUAGCGGCGGACGGGUGAGUAACGCGUGGAUAAUCUGCCCUACACACUGGGAUAACACCUGGAAACAGGUGCUAAUACCGGAUAAGCAUACACUGACGCCUGUCAGAGUGUGAAAAGAUUUAUCGGUGUAGGAGGAGUCCGCGUAAGAUUAGUUAGUUGGUGGGGUAAAGGCCUACCAAGACUACGAUCUUUAGCCGAACUGAGAGGUUGAUCGGCCACACUGGGACUGAGACACGGCCCAGACUCCUACGGGAGGCAGCAGUGAGGGAUAUUGCACAAUGGACGAAAGUCUGAUGCAGCAACGCCGCGUGAAUGAAGAAGGCCUUCGGGUCGUAAAGUUCUAUCGAUGGGGACGAAAAAAAUGACGGUAUCCAAGUAAGAAGCCCCGGCUAACUACGUGCCAGCAGCCGCU